rnacentral:rRNA from 1 species
UACGUAGGUGACAAGCGUUGUCCGGAUUUACUGGGCGUAAAGAGCGCGCAGGCGGUCGAUCAAGUCGAGUGUGAAAGCCCCCGGCUCAACUGGGGAGGGUCAUUCGAUACUGAUCGACUCGAAGGCAGGAGAGGGUAGUGGAAUUCCCGGUGUAGUGGUGAAAUGCGCAGAUAUCGGGAGGAACACCGGUGGCGAUGGCGGUUCUCUGGGCCUGUGCUGACGCUGAGGAGCGAAAGCGUGGGGAGCGAACAGG